CACACUGGAACUGAGACACGGUCCAGACUCCUACGGGAGGCAGCAGUGGGGAAUAUUGGACAAUGGGCGAAAGCCUGAUCCAGCCAUGCCGCGUGUGUGAAGAAGGUCUUCGGAUUGUAAAGCACUUUAAGUUGGGAGGAAGGGUUGUAGAUUAAUACUCUGCAAUUUUGACGUUACCGACAGAAUAAGCACCGGCUAACUCUGUGCCAGCAGCCGCGGUAAUACAGAGGGUGCAAGCGUUAAUCGGAAUUAUUGGGCGUAAAGAGCGUGUAGGCGGUUCGGUAAGUCUGCCGUGAAAACCCAGGGCUCAACCCUGGGCGUGCGGUGGAUACUGCCGGGCUAGAGGGUGGUAGAGGCGAGUGGAAUUCCCGGUGUAGCGGUGAAAUGCGCAGAUAUCGGGAGGAACACCAGUAGCGAAGGCGGCUCGCUGGGCCACACCUGACGCUGAGACGCGAAAGCGUGGGGAGCAAACAGGAUUAGAUACCCUGGUAGUCCACGCCGUAAACGAUGAACACUAGGUGUGGGCGGAGUCGAAUCUGUCCGUGCCGAAGCCAACGCGAUAAGUGUUCCGCCUGGGGAGUACGGCCGCAAGGCUAAAACUCAAAAGAAUUGACGGGGACCUGCACAAGCGGUGGAGCGUGUGGUUUAAUUCGACAGCAAGCGAAGAACCUUACCAAGAAUUGACAUCUCUGGAAAGCCCUGGAGACAGGGCCGUGCCGCAAGGAGCCAGAUGACAGGUGUUGCACGGUUGUCGUCAGCUCGUGCUGUGAAGUGUCCCGUUCAGUCGGUUAACGAGCGCAACCCUCAUCCUGUGUUAUAUUUUUCACAGGAAACUGCCCCAGUUAAUGGGGAGGAAGGUGAGGGCGACGUCAAAUCAGCGUGACUCUUACGUCUUGGGCGACACACGCGCUACAAUGGGAAGUAACAAUGGGUUGCCAG
rnacentral:rRNA from 1 species